rnacentral:lncRNA from 1 species
GGGGGAGGGAAGAAAGCUCAUUACACACACGGGGAAAUAGGGGUCCGAGAGAGAAACUAGCGCCCCUGUGAUCCUUGCUGUCCCCAUCCCCGUUCCCAGAAGCAAAACCUCUAAUUAGAACGGGGGCGGAGAAGAACCCUGCUGCGAAGGAGAGAUCUGUGGGGCAAUAUCGUCUCCAAAACUUAAUUUUGCUGUUCACUUUCUAUCCCCUCCGCCCCCGCCUUCCCCCCUCGUUUCCCCAUCACCACCCUCAUCCAGCUAACAUUCAGAAUCCCAAACCGUAAAACAUCCCUGGAAACACACACCGGAGUGGAGAGGAUUCCGACUCAGAGACUGCGCAAAGCGACACGGAAACCCAGGCAGGCUGAAGCCUCGAAGUAUUCAGCCAAUGGAGAUGGGAUACCUACAGCCAUUUGGCUUUGAUUCCCUCCAUGCCUCUUGGUGCUUCCAUGCAUACUUCCCCUGGGAUGCUCUUCUUUUGGUUUCAAAAGCUGUUGACUACAGAGGGCCCACGAGCUGCAGGCAGAAACUUCACCAUGUUAACGGCAAAAGAAGAA